AGAGCCCCAGGGGGCUCUUCUGCAGGCCCCUCUGCCCUCCCUGCCCCCAGGAUGCUGGAGGAGACCCUGGAGAGGGUGUGCAAGCCCCGUGACCCUGCGUUCUCUCUCUCUCCAGCUGCAGCAGGACAGAGGCAGAGUAGAAGAAUACCUGCAGCAGAGCCAGCCCUACCUGCAGGACACUCAGACCCUUUUGCGACUUGAGGCCGUCAGAUUCAUUGGUCUUGCUGCGCGCUACUGCGAGGACCAGAGCGAGGAGAAGCUGGAGGAAAUCCUCAGCGGUGAGUGAGGGCAGUGGGGGGUGUGCUAGGGCUGGGGGGACAGCGGCAGAGGCCCCCGUGCCUUGCCCUGCUCCAGGGAAAUGCUUCGGGGCGGAGGAGCAAUGCAGCCAUAGGAACGAGGGAGAGGAGACGGGGUAGCCUGUGGUGUCAGGGAAUGGCCUCCCAGCCUGGAGCUGGGCAGUGCCGCUGAAAGGGUUGAGUGUCCCUGAGGAAGAGUCAGGGGAAAGGGCAGUAAGGCUGACAGAAGGUGGGAGCCUGUUGUAGAGCACGCAACCAGGACGAAGAGGGAGAUGAGACAGCCUACAAGCAGCUAGGAGCAGGGUCACGAUUGCUAGCCCUUGCUCUCAUGGGGAAGCACAAUAGCGAGAGGAAAGAGUCCAGGAGAUUCCUGGAGUGUGUGAAUCCUCCCAAGGGAUGGAGGCAGGUGGUGAGGGAACCAGCUUGUGAAGGUGCCCCACUUGACCUGUGGUGCGCAGGUGGGGAAGGACUGGUGGCUGCAUUUGGGACAUUGCUGAGCAGCAGCUUUCAACGGAUUCCUUUGUCCCUCCUGCUCCUCCUGGCCUGGGGAAGAGUCGAGUGGGGCUGGCAUGCUCUGCAGGGGAUGCCUGGGGAUCUCUGCAAGGAGUGGGUUUUCAUCUCUGC